AUCAGUAGGCUAUUACCUAUAACAAGCAUUAGGUUGCUUACUUUAGGAGCAGAUGAACGUGUGUGUAUGUUGUAAAUAUUUAUUUUAUUUAUUAUUUAUUUAUCGGUAAAAAAAUAUUUGAUUUAAAACUUUACUUAUAUAGCGCUUGUAAUUGUCACCAAUGCAAAUACUGAUUAAUGAUCAAAUUACAGUAUCUAAAAAAAUUGUCAUUGUAGACAUGUCCCAAAAGAUGCAUCGCCACUUUCCACCCCCACCCCAUUUAAAUUCAUCGGUACAUUUCGCCAGCUUUGUUUGAAAGCAACGUCACAAUUUUAAUCACUUAGGCCGGCGCGUCGGAGUUGACUCCGAACGAAACCGUAAUGGAGACAUUUUUAGGAGACUUUUUUUAAAUGGCAAAGCCUUAAAUUUUUUUUUCGCGGUUCGAAUUUUAAACGUGAUGAUUUCGCGGUUUUUAAUUACGACGGCUAGAUUUGCUCUUUUAUACCCGUAGUAAAUUUAUCAUGUUCAAUGCUAUCCAACCGUGUUUUAUGUUAAUUUUACCUAAUGUUCCCUCUUCUUAUUUGUAUGAAUGUGGUUAUAUUGUUCGCCAAAUUUUUGGUUAAGUAAAAAAAAAAGAUAUCAUGAAAUCCGAAAUGUUAGCCUCGCGUGAACAAAAUAUUAACGCUGUUACUUUUUGUCUGUGUUGAAAUGAUUAUGUAACUAUUAUAAUAAUAAAUUUAUAACAAAGUGUUAAAAAUAUAAGCAGAGUAACUGUUUAUUUAAAUAAUAAAAUCUUACGCGAAUUUCGCGAAAAUUCAGAAUUCUCAUUUAGAAUAUUGCGAAGACAAUUUAGUUUCCAGUCAGUCAGCGUUUCUUUUACGACUUAUUUUAUUUAAGAUCCAAACCAGCCCUCAUUAUUUGUCCCGCCCUUAGAAUUAUGACGGCGCCCGUAAUUACUGGACCCGCAAAUUACAGGCUAAACCGACUUUUAUUACAUUUCAUUUAACAUAGUAGCGGUUUUGUAGUUAUCGUUGAUUAAUUAUUACCAUUUUAAUUUUAGUUUUACGAUAUUUAAAAAAGCAGGAGACUUAUUGUUUUGAGCAAAAAAAAUAUCACUUCAGUUUGAUAGUUGUUGAAAUCAUAAGCAGUGACAGAUUUGUGAGUUGCAAGUACUCUUAUAAAUGAGCUAAUACGAUCAGAAAUGUAUAUUAAUAUACAUAGUUGAUAUUGUACCUUAAAACGAAUAAAACUACUAAGAGAAGUUAAAUACAAUUUUUAUAUAAUUCUUUUGAUAUAAAUUUUUUGAAAUAACUAAGUAAAUUAUUAUGAUAAAUUAUAUGAUAUGAUAAAUUUAUGUAAAUAAAUAAAAUAAAAAAGAAAUUUGAGAAAUAAAAAUACGAAAUCUUAACGAUGUUGAAAUACCAAGAAAUCUAAUAAUAAAUAAUGCUAUUUACAUAAAUUUUUAUCUGUAAUGUGGGACCCGUGGGAAGACAGUAAAUGAUAAUAAAUUCCUUUUUUUCUAACGUUCAUUUAUAAAUAAAAAAGAUUUAGUUCAGCAAUGAAAUAUGCAAGCGGAAACCAUUCAACGUUUGUACUGCAUUUUUAAUUUUUUUACCUUUGCUAAGUGUCGUGAUAUAAAGCUCAUAAUUACCGGUCAAUAAAAUGGCGAGUGGUGGUAGAAAGGUGGUCAGCGGUCGGUGGUCGGGUUCACACGACGGUGGGUGAUUACCGCCAAAAAAAAGUUAAAUAAAAUUUAAACUCUGUUCACAAUAAUAUAUUUAUUACUUUAUUAGGUACUAUCACGCGAACUUUAGGGUUCGUUAAAAAUGACAGCUUUUUUUUCGAUAUCAUUAC
rnacentral:misc_RNA from 1 species